rnacentral:misc_RNA from 1 species
AUGCUAUCCCUCCCUGCAGUGCAUUCUCAUAUUGGGGAUUAUGAAGAGCUAAUUUAAUAUCUUCCCACCACAAGGAGACAUUUUUGUCUCUUGUUGCUGCAUCAAGGCCCCUCCAACCGCCAUACUUUGAUUCUAGAAUCCUUGCCCAUAGCUCACCAUUGUGAUGGAAUAAAUUCCAUUUCCAUUUGGCAAGCAAUGCAAGGUUAAACUUGGUGAUAUCCUUUAUUCCUAAGCCUCCUUUGUCUUUAGGGAGACAUACCGUCUCCCACUUGACCCAAGCAAUCUUGUGUUGGUCAUCACCAUCACCCCAAAGAAAGCUUCUUUGUAUGCAAACCAACUUUUUCACCACCCUUCUAGGAACCCUGAAAAAAGACAAGAAAUAAAUAGGAAUAGAAGUUAG